AGAGCAGGUCGCCUUAUCGCUUCCCAAACUUAUUUAGGAAGAGGAAAGUCCGGACACCAUAGAGCAAGCGUAGCGGGUAACACCCGUCACUUUGAAGUAAUUCAAGGGAGGACAAGUGCAACAGAAAGAAUGUACAGGUAAUGCUGUAGUGAAAUCAGGUAAACUCUAUGCGGUGAAAUGCCAUGUAUAUCAGUAGUUAAGGGUUGCUCGCCCGUUGCUGAGGGGUAGGCAGAUGGAUCAAAUUAGUAAUAUUUUGACUAGAUAAAUGAUAAGGACAUAUUUUUUAUGUACAGAAUCCGGCUUACAGAUCUGCUUUUUUU
rfam:Flavobacterium columnare ATCC 49512, complete genome.